AUUGAACGCUGGCGGCAUGCCUUACACAUGCAAGUCGAACGGCAGCACGGGGGCAACCCUGGUGGCGAGUGGCGAACGGGUGAGUAACACAUCGGAACGUACCCGGUGGUGGGGGAUAGCCCGGCGAAAGCCGGAUUAAUACCGCAUACGACCUACGGGUGAAAGCGGGGGAUCGUAAGACCUCGCGCUAUCGGAGCGGCCGAUGUCAGAUUAGGUUGUUGGUGGGGUAAAGGCCUACCAAGCCGAGAUCUGUAGCUGGUCUGAGAGGACGACCAGCCACACUGGGACUGAGACACGG
rnacentral:rRNA from 1 species